AUUAACUCCAUAUGUACGUAGGUUGUGUUGCGUCUGGCGAUCAAGAUUCGAUUCCUGCAGUGUGUAAUUGUUUAGGUCUAAGUUACACUCUACCUUGCAAGUAUGGUCUCACAGAUCUUGACACAUCACAGUAUGUUGAAAUGACACAUGACAGUGUCAACACGCGCGGGCACAUCUGGCCUUUUAAGAACGCAAGCUUGUAAAACAAAUACUUUUCAAAGUUCUUACUUCGUUAGGAUUGUAAAACUGUGGAACUAUAUGUAUGUAAAUCUGCUCCUUCCAACUGCUACGACACUCUCCCCACCUUUACAUCAUACCUACCAAGACUUUCCUCCACCUGACUGCUUCUGCCUACACUCCUGACUUACCUAUAGCUUAAACUCGUUGAUCACGACUAACUAAUAUCUUCCAGGUCAUUCAUUUUACCACUUCUCUCUUCUGUGCUUCUAAUUUUCCAUUCACCAUUCUUCCAUUUUUCUAUUCAAUAUUUUUCUUGCUCUUCUAUAAUAUCUCAUGCAUGGGACCUAGUCUCGUUUGUGUUUCGGUGCCACGUUUGGCACCUUCUAUAGUUACUAUUAUUCGUAUUCUUAUUCAAUGUAUUUAUCUAUGUUAAAGGCGGUUUUCCACUAGACGAAAUUUUUCGACCGAAUCGAAAGUUCUCUUUGUUUCAUGAGCUCUCGAGCAGAACUAAUUGUAAAAAGACAAAGAGAAAUUUCGUUUCGGUCGAAAAAUUCCGCCUCGUGGAAUCAGGCCUUAAGGCCCAUUUCCACUCAAGAAAAAUUUCCAUGGACAGAACAUUUUCCGAAAAUAUCAUUGUUACAGUGAAAAUACAAAAAGUGUCCCACUUCCGCUUCUGUAGUUUGUUGUGAUCGAUUUACUGUAAUUUGUUCUGUUUUUCUGUGGCGAUUACCGAUUUAUCGGCAAAUACUGCGAUAAAAUUUAAAUUUCGUACCUUUUAUUCAAUGAAACUAACGAAAAAUGUAUUAUUUCCCUUUGGGACAAAUUAUCAUAUUUAAAAAUAGAGAAACUAAGUUUUAUCGCGGUAUUUGCCGAUAAAUUGGUAAUCGCUACAGAAAAACAGAACAAAUUACAGUAAAUCACAACAAACUGCGGAAGUGGGACACUUUUUGUAUUUUCUCUGUAAAAGUUGAAAAUUUUCAACUUAAAAUUUUUUUCCGACGAAAAUUUGUGUCGCGGCCAAUCACAUUUUACAAAAUUUUCUUUCUGCGGAAAACUUUCCUGAGUGGAAGUAGGCCUUUAGUUGUGUACAAUAUUGUCAAGUUAUCUACGUGCCAAAUUAAAGCUGUUAAAUACGUAUAUAGUCAAGUGUAUGCUGGUAUAUCGGGUCUAUUGAUUUCGCACAUAACAAGAUCAGGCAGGCCCACGCGUGUUUGCCAACAUCAGUAUACAUAAGAAAUGGGAGAUUGGCGUUCACAGGUUGUAAUCUAACAAGGAUUUAAGGCAUCUCACUCGGUAGAGAUCAAUGUUCAAUUAAGUUUUUGUGGAUGGGAAAAUCGAGUGUAAAUUAUUUACAUUUUUUAACGUAACAAGCAACAGCUGCAACUAGCCUGCAACGAAUCUGCAACUAACCAACUGAGCUACAAAGUCCAGUUGUUGGCUUUAAUCGCAAGUUCAUGUAAUUAUAUUUUAGUAUGAUGUCAGUGUUAGUUGCAUGGGGGAAGAAUCCUAUUAUUUAAAUGCUUACAAGGAAUAGUAAAUUUAGAAUUUGAACUAUGAAAUAUGGCCACGAAUUCUUCCUAUGCGCGCAAACGAGAACUGACUUCAUGCGGUCUCCUUGACAACCACUGAGGUAACGUCAUAAAAUAGUACACCGUAUAUCGAAGACCCGCAGCUACAUUGUGUUCUCAUAUAUCAGGAUCGGGCGACUGUGUUGCGUUCUCUCCAAUUGUCAAGAGAGCAAAGCCACGAAAUGCGCUUUCAUAGAUCUGUGAUAAUCUUAGUUCUAUUCCAACUAUUAUUUCUGAAUGAACUGUGUGAUGGUUGGCGUAGACGGCGCCGACGUCGGAGAACAUGUUGGCCUCGUAAUUGCGUGAUGUGGCAAUGGAGUGGCUGGUCUCGGUGUUCGGCGACUUGUGGCAGCUCGGGUCGGAAGACUAGAACUCGUGGUAUUCGAACUUACGCAUACUGCGGUGGUGCUGGUUGUGGUGCUACCUCACAAUCAAUAGCAUGUCCCGGUACGUGUUGUCCGAUUCCGUGUUCUUAUUCAUGGAUGUCGUGGAGUUCGUGUUCUGCUACGUGCAUGUACGGGACACGUAAACGUUAUUCUAGAAUUUGGAGAAAUCCUAGUUGUGGAGGCACAAGCUGUCCCGCUAGCCCGCAAACUCAGCAAUGUGGCAGUGGAAGGUAUUAUGCUAUUGAAUAUUAGGAUAAUUCCAUAUAUACAUGCAUAGAUUCGAUUACAUAGGCUUUGUUUACACUCUUGCGAUCGAGGUUUGAUUUAUACGUACAGCAUUUAGUUCUCUGGUUUGAAGUCGCACUCUAUAUCAAACACCGCAAGUAUUUUCCAAGGGUGUCGUCUUGUAGCAACAAGGUUAUAUACGUAGCUUUUAUGCUAAUAGGUUCCGGGUUCGAUUCCUUGCAGUAUGCAGGUUAUGUAUUAUAGCUUGCAUUGUACUAGAAACCCCAGUUACGUUUACGCAAGAUAGUAAUAAUGGGAUAGCCGCUUACUAAACGUCUAGAUAAUGGAGAACCGUUUACAACUGGUAGAUAAGCCAAUAUGUACAUAAGUCAUAAAUUUAAUCACAUUUGUUGUACCAGUUUUGUAUUUCAUCCGUAAUAAUAAUAAACUCUUUCUUUAACGAGGGUAGCACGGAAUAGUUACAAUAACUAAUGAACACCUAUAACACAUAACCGUGGAUGGUGAUUUGCGCACGGCACAGACGACUAAAUGGGAUAUGUACAAACCCUGGUACAAACUGUUCAAUAAGAUCAAUAUUAAGAUGGUGAUUGAAGGUACUGCCAUGUGUAGGGUACUUCCACGUGUAGGUUAUGGGUAAAUAUUAAGAUUUUGUUGGCAUAAUAUAAGUCUUGUGAGAUAUAAGAUUAAUAUUAAGAUGUUAAGAUUAAGGCAAGAUAUAAGUCUAUUGACCGCCAAUGCACUAUGGCUUGCUGUUAAUUUGAUGCGCAUGUCCAGACCUGUUUAUUCCAGGAACUGAAGUACUGUAUUCAUUAAUUCUUUCUGAUCAAUAGACCUGAAAUAUAGACAUGAAGCCAAAUAUAUGAAUAUGUAUAUAAAAUAAAACAUAUAACGACUCAACACGUGGUUUUUUAGGCCUAUUACUAUAUAGAGAUUUCAUUACGUAAAAUCUGACAAUCCGAGGGCGGAUCUAGGAAUUUGACGAAACAAUCGUAAUGUAACAUAUAAUGCUGACCUCUUUCUGUAUAAUAAUGCGCUGUACAAUGGAUCUUUGAGCAUAACCUAACUCUGAUAAUUAAUAUUUAAAUAAUCAUUAAUAAUUCAAAAUUGAAAAGAUGGAUUCGAUUCAGAUUUCGUCUUAAUUUACAUAAAUUACUUUCAGCUUCGUUAGUCUCGUCUUAAACGAACCGUAUCGCCGGUAAACUUGAUUGUCUUUAUGCAUUGUAAUUUUAAAUAGCAUAAAGAUAUCGGUCAGAACAGAUUGAAUGCCAUAAACUUCAUAAUUUAAUCUCUAAAAUACUGAUACUUCAUUAAAUUACCAAUUACGAAACAACAAGAAGAUACAUGUUCCGAAAUUCUAUACUGAACGUUUUAAGAAUUCGUAUGUCAUCGCUAGUUGUUUAGACAUAAAUAAUCGUAAUUCAACAAAUUAGUGUUAGUUUUAAUAUUUAUAAUUUUCUUAGUAAGCCAUAGCAUAGGUUGUAAUUUUUUAAAUGUAAUAUAAUUUGUAUUCAGUGUUAUUUAUAUUGUAAUCGCUUACGAAUUCAGUAUUUGUGCUGCAAAAAGUGAAUUAUUAAACUAUCUAUCUAUCUAUCUAUCUAUCUAUCUAUCUAUCUAUCUAUCUAUCUAUCUAUCUAUCUAUCAUAAUUUAUAAUAUAACUGGGAUAUAGCACGUAAUUUAGAUUAAUGCGCGUGCAUUAUAACAAUGCAUUGUCAUGGUUUUCCAGUUUUUUCUGGUUUUUUGAUUGAUCUCAUGCGGUUUUCUUGGCGGCCACUAGUGAGAUGACGUCAUAAAAUAGUUUACCGGCAUAUAUUCCGAAGCUGUUUUGUAUUCUCGGCAUAUGUCAGCUUCAGGCCAUUGUGUUGCGUUCUCUUCAACUGUCAAGAGAGCAAAGCCACGAAAUGCGCAUUCAUAGAUUUGUGAUAAUCUUAGUUCUGUUGCAACUAUUAUUUCUCAAUGAACUCUGUGAUGGUUGCAGUAGACGUCGUCGUUCGCCAUGUUACGCUCGUAAUUGCGUGAUGUCGUCAUGGAGUGGCUGGUCUCGGUGUUCGGCGACUUGUGGUUACUCGGGUUGGAAGACUAGAUAUCGUCGUGUGUUAAGUUACCCAUCUUGCGGUGGUGCUGGCUGUGGUUCUACCUCACAAUCAACACGGUGUCCCGGUACGUGUUGUCCGAUUGCGUGUUCUUAUUCAUGGAUGUCGUGGAGUUCGUGUUCUGCUACGUGCAUGUACGGGACACAAAAACGUUAUACUCGAGUUUGGAGAAACCCUGUUUGUGGUGGCGCAACCUGUCCCGCUAGCCCGCAAACCCAGCGAUGUGGCAACGGAAGGUAGCUAUUAUACUACUGAAUAUUAGACUAAUUCCAUAUGUACGCAUAGGUUGUAUUGCAUCUGGCGAUCAAGAUUCGAUUCCUGCAGUGUGUAGUUGUUUAGGUUUAAGUUGCACUCUACCAUGCAAGUAUGGUCUCACAGAUCUUGACACAUCACAGUAUGUUGAGAUGACACAUGAUAUAGUGUCAGUAUGUUGAAACUACAGUAGGCAGGACACGCGCGGGCACAUCUGGCCUUCUAAGAACGCAAGCUUGUAAAACGAGUACUCUUCAAAGUUCUUACUUCGUUAGGAUUGUAAAACUGUGGAACCAUAUAUAUGUAAAUCUGCUCCUUCCAACUGCUGUGACAUUCUCCCCACCUUUAAAUCAUACCUACACAAGAUUUUUCUCCACCUGACUGCUACUGCAUGCCUACAAUCCUGACUUACCUACAUAUAGUUUAAACUCGUUGAUCACGACUAACUAAUAUCUUCCAGGUCAUUCAUUCUACCGCUUCUCUCUUCUGUGCUUCUAGUUUUCCAUUCACCAUUCUUCCAUAUUUCUAUUCUAUAUUUUUCUUGCUCUUCUAUUAUAUCUAAUCUACUGGUGAGCGCCAUGUAUGGGACCCAGUCUCGCUUGUGUUUCGCCACGUUUGGCACCUUCUAUAGUUACUCUGUUACUGUUAUUCGUAUUCUUAUUCAAUGUAAUUAUCUAUGUUAAGGCCCAUUUCCAUUCAAGAAAAAUUUCCACGGACAGAAAAUUUUCCGAAAAUAUCAUUGUUAAAAGUUGAAAAUUUUCAACUUCAAAAUUUUUUCCGACUGAAGCUUUGUGUCGGCCAAUCACAUUUUACAAAAUUUUCUUUCUGCGGAAAAUUUUCCUGAGUGGAAAUGGACCUUAAGUUGUGUACAAUAUUGUCAAGUUAUCUACGUGCCAAAUUAAAGCUGUUAAAUACAUAUAGUCAAGUAUAUGCUGGUAUAUCGGGUCUAUUGUUUUCGCACAUGACAAGAUCAGGCAGGCCCACGCAUGUUUGCCAACAUCAGUAUACAUAAGAAAUGGGAGAUUGGCGUUCACAGGUUGUAUUCUAACAAGGAUUUAAGGAAUCUCACUCGGUUAAGAUCAAUGUUCAAGGGUUUUUGUGGAUGGGAAAAUCGAGUGUAAAUUAUUUACAUUUUUUAACCUAACCAGCAAC